rnacentral:lncRNA from 1 species
UCGCCGGGAAAUCUCAUCUCCCAAGUAAAGCGUCUCUCGGACACAAAAAGGCAGACACCAUAAAAAGCAAAAGUACGGUCUCUCUUAGCUGAAUCACUCUCCGACUGGCAUUCCUUUCUUGCUACCAGAGUCAUCACCUUUGCCCUGCUCUUCACCCAAAGGAUCGGAUCUCUCUGUCACAUGGCGGCUUCCUCCUCUUCUCUCUUUUAUACCCUUUCUUCUGACCUACUCCUUUCCUCCUUCUCGCCUCGCCAUGCCUUGUAC